rnacentral:rRNA from 1 species
AAAAUAAAAUUUGAUUUUAAAAAAAUUUAAUUUUUAAACUAGGAUUAGAUACCCUAUUAUUUUAAGCUUAAUGUUGGUAGUAAGUAAAAAUUAUGAAAUCAUAAAAUUUUGGCGGUAUUUUAAGCUUGUUAGAGGAAUUUGCUCUAUAAUGGAUACAACGCCUAUAUCUUACUUAAUUUUGUAAUUAAAGUCAGUUUGUAUACCACUAUAUUUAAUUAUAUUAAAUAAUUAUAUUUAAGAUUUUUAUAUAAAUAUAUAUUAAGUCAAGGUGCAACAAAUAAUUA